CCUACGGGAGGCAGCAGUGAGGAAUAUUGGUCAAUGGCCGGAAGGCUGAACCAGCCAAGUCGCGUGAGGGACGACUUCCCUAUGUGUUGUAAACCUCUUUUAUAAGGGAAGAAUAAAUGCUACGUGUAGCAUGAUGCCUGUACCUUAUGAAUCAGCCUCGGCUAACUCCGUGCCAGCAGCCGCGGUAAUACGGAGGGUGAGAGCGUUAUCCGGAUUUAUUGGGGUUAACGGGUGCGUAGGCGGUUUUUUAAGUUAGUGGUUAAACGUAGGGGCUUCACCUUGAUUUGCCAUUGAUACUGUAAGACUCGAGUUCAGACGAGGUAGGCGGAAUAAGUAAAGUAGCGGUGAAAUGCUUAGAUAUAA
rnacentral:rRNA from 1 species